CGUAGGUGAACCUGCGGAAGGAUCAUUCAUAAUAAGUGUUUUAUGGCACUUUUUUAAAUCCAUAUCCACCUUGUGUGCAAUGUCAGGGUUGAUUUUUCUCUCGAGAGGAUCAGCCCCAAACAUCAACUAUAUCUCAACUCUUUGUCUGAAAAAUACUAUGAAUAAAACAAUUCAAAAUACAACUUUCAACAACGGAUCUCUUGGCUCUC
rnacentral:misc_RNA from 1 species